ensembl:lncRNA
AGUCUGCUGUAAAGCCUUUGGACAUCGAGCUUGGUGGUACUUCUGGAAUAGAAAACAGAACAGCACUGUACUGAAAGAAAAUGCAGAUUGGCACCACCUGAGGCUGCUCCUGCUCAGCAUGCUGAGCUCCUCCAGCAUCUUGCUCAGAAUGUUUCCCAGGAAGACGUACCACCACACCAGUUGUCCCCAUGAGCUGCCAGAUUACAGUUAAGCUCCUGAACACUGUCAAAAAGGCUCCUCCCAGAACAAGAUGUUUCUUGCGAGAAGAUAUCUGCCGUGUGGAAGAAGCUGCUUUCCAUGCAUAUCCACAGAGGCAACCCAAAACUAAAUGCUGCUGAGGGGCAGUAUCUGAACAGAGAAAGAUGGGGAUGGGGAGGGGGGGGUGUCUCUGCUCUCCUGGGUUUGGAGUCAGGGAAAGCUGGUGCACAGCGCAGGGCUGCGACCCCUGGUAUCUGUAGUGCUACCACCCCCCUUUCCCACAGAACUGAAUAUUUUUGAAUUCAUAUCCUGCACCAGUGCCUGGAAUGAUCAGUUGAAAGAUUUCAGAAUCAGUUCCUUAACUGUUUAUUUCUUCAGUGUUUUCCUCUCCUCUGCUCUCUUCUGUGUCCCCGCCAGCUCUGUAGUGCUCCUUCUUGAACAAUAAGUCUCAGAACAGAGCAAAUGUAGUGUCUGGGGCAAGCGUUCCUUCAUUCUAGGCACCUUUGUUCCAAACUGGCUUUUUGUAAGUCCCCACAUUGGCGUUUUUUCCCAGCUCUAACGCAAUGCACUACAUUUAGCUCUCCUGGAGAAGGUUCAUCUAGAGGAUAAGAGAUGAAAACUAUCAGAGAACCCUCAAUAAAGUAGAAAGACCCUCAAAAAGAACUAUGGCAGUGGAGACCAUGAAAUAAAAAUUCUUAUCUUGUUCUAAUGCAGAAACAACAUUUGAUUCCCACAGGCCCAAAGUGAGUCAUUAAACUCUUACAGUAAAGGCUGAUCCGCGAUAUCAUGUACAAGUCUAUAAGUUGGUCAAAGAUAGUGACAUAAACUGAAGCUAAGAUACUAAUUUAUUUUACAUAUUUUUAGUGUAUGACAGCAACAAAUAAAUGCGACAUAUAUAGGGCACUCAAAUUCUAUCACGAGAAGUUAUUUCAUACCACAGCAAGAAGAGAGAAGCAUGAGAAUUUGCAGCCAGCCUUCUAGAGCAUUGAGAAUAUCUGCAAAGCCUUGCCUAUGACUUAGGAGAAAUUUAACCAUCAGUGUCAAAUCAAUUUGCAGUUCUAUAGCCACCUCCUAUAUUGAGCACAGAUUCUUGUCACGUCCGCUCUGACCAGACCUCUCCUGUGUGGGCAAGCACUAUAGGCAAGGCAAUAUUGUAAGAGUUAUCAGAAACAGCUUGCUUCCUUCACCUACCAUGCUUGCAGAAGUAUUUAGCUAUGUCUGGAGGCCAGUCACAGACAGCCCCAGAGCUCUAGAGCUCCAAGCCAAGUUGGGUGAUUUGAAGAAGUAAUUAUACAAAAUAUUCUGUUAAUGCUUGCUUGCAACACCACAGUGUUCUUUAGAUGUUGUGGAUAAUUGUGAUGUAGUAUUGUAGAUGGGGAGAGGUGUUGUAAGACUGUUCUGUUUUAACGAGGCAAAAGAAACAACGAUGGAAUGCCUACAAUGUGACAGACAGCAUCAAGAUGUUCCCCUUUGCAUUCCUUCUCUGUGUGUACCGACUUCUCCGACUGUCCUUGCUUUCCACAGCAAUCUUUGGGGCAAAAGGAGUGUUGGGAGGAAGUAAACGACCCACAGGGACUAAUAGUGAACCAUCACGAUGCAAGAAGCACGCUAGAGGACAUUGAAGAUAGCCAAAUAAGGCUAUGUCUGUUAGGCAGUCACUGGGGGUGGUUAGGAUAAUGAAUUUGAGAAUGUAAUGAAUAUGUAAUACAUGUGAAAAUAUAACCUGUUUACGAAUGAUC